AAGACUAUACUUUCAGGGAUCAUUUCUAUAGUAUGUGACUGGAGAAGUUUCUCUGAUCGUGUAGAGCACCCAAAGCCCCGAGGAGGAGCCAGAGCUUCCUCUCCUGAGUGUGAAGCUGACUCUAGGUGUUGCUUCUGUGACUGCCUUCUUGCCAUUGAUGAUCGUUCUCCCCUUCCUUUGGAAGGGAUAGAGGGAGAGGAUGCAGUCUGAGUGGU